rnacentral:rRNA from 1 species
AUUGAACGCUGGCGGCAGGCCUAACACAUGCAAGUCGAGCGAGCGGCGGACGGGUGAGUAAUGUCUGGGAAACUGCCUGAUGGAGGGGGAUAACUACUGGAAACGGUAGCUAAUAACGCAUACCAUCAGCUGUGCCCCUAUGGGAUUAGCUAGUAGGUUGGGUAACGGCUCACCGAGGCGACGAUCCCUAGCUGGUCUGAGAGGAUGACCAGACACACUGGAACGCAGACACGGUUCAGACUCCUACGGGAGGCAGCAGUGGGGAAUUGUGGAAAAUGGGCGCAAGCCUGAUCCAGCCAUGCCGCGUGUCUGAAGAAGGCCUUCGGGUUGUAAAGGACUUUUGUCAGGGAAGCGGUACCUGAAGAAUAAGCACCGGCUAACUACGUGCCAGCAGCCGCGGUAAUAC